CGGGUCCUUCGUGCGCCACCGCGGCCUCUUCGGCCCGCAGCGUGCCAACGCUAACCCCAGGUUGGCCCAUGGGGUAUGGUUGGCACCCCCGCGGACUGAUCAGAGGAGGAAGGAGGGCCUGCAUCGUGGUGGUGGUGGUGGGAAGGGUGCAGGAGCGUUAGGGGGCAUAAGACAGUGAGUAGGGACAGCGCAGGGCUGGCUGGAGGAGGGAGAAAAAGACUGACCCACAGACGCACAAAAAAGGCUGGACGCCGUUGGAAGAGCUGAAGGACCAGGACUGCAGAUGAGGGGAAAAUAGAAGGGAGAGAUCACCAAGGCUGAUGGAAGCUUGGCUGUCCACAUCUGGCCCGAGAGCUAGAAGAUCCCCACCAGCUUCAUUCAACGUCGGCAGGAGCUGGGACUAGCAACGGGAGCUCACCCCGUCACGCGGAUUCGAACCACCGACCUUCCGAUCGGCAAGCUCAGCAGCUCAGCGGUUUAACCCGCAGCGCCACCGCGUCCCCUUAGACAGCUCUUAACAGAGACCUUAUUUGUUACACUGGGCUUUUGAAUAAAUUUGAGCAAGGGACACAGGUUGCCUAUUCCUCUUUUAAAACACCCCAAUUUAGUAUUUCAGCCAAUGUCCUAUAAUCUCUUUAUUUCCACUCAUUUUUCUCUAAUGGCUUCUCCUGUCUGGAAUAUAACAAUUGCAAAAGCAUUGGCAAUCCUCAUCUUCUGUUUUAUGCUCAUAAUUGUAACCCCCUUGGCUUUGUCUCUUAGUCUUCAUCCCUUGUAGAAAUGAAGCCGAAUACUUUUAACUACAUCUGAUGAGUUCAUCACUUGCCUCUCUUUACUCCUACUGUUGAAAUGUAGAGGCAUAGCUUUGCUUUUUUUUUUUAUUGGCUGAAUAAAAUAUAGUUCAUGCUACACUGACAGCCAUAUAUGAGUAAUACUCAUAUAUGUAACAAAUGGUAAUCAGGUGCUGUCAACACAUCUUAAAACUAGAAAAACCCUUUCCAAAUUCAUUUUGAACCUAAUUUGGAGCAGAGACGGAUAAUUUAUUCAAAACCAAAUACAGUUUGACAAUUGCCCUUUAAUAUCAUUGGAACUCUCCUAAAUAAUUAUAACCUGUGAAGUAUGAACAGUUAUUAAGAUGACAUUGGGAGAAAUAUUAAAGCAGGAAAUGACUCACACUGGGCUGUGUUUCUUUUUGGCCUUCAGUGUUGUGCAGGCAGAUUUCAGGGGAAUCUUGCUUGCAUGAAAGCUGUUUGGAUCUACGUUAUAAUUUCUCCCCUCCAAGAAAUAUAUUGCCUAGAUCAUCCUUUUCCUCUUCCAAAAUGAAUUUAGACCUUUCAUUAAUUAAUUUUUUGGUUUUGGCUUGAAUCUUAGUCUGUUUUUGUAAAACGCAACUUCUGCAGCGCACAGUGAUACCGUAGGCAACAAGUGAAUCCUGUGGCAGUAAGUUGCAUCAGAUCUGAAAUCUCCUGCGAGAUUAUAUAUCAAAGAAAGGAAGUAGGUUUGCUAAUGAGCUGGGAACGUCUGCUGGGUCACCAAGUUCUUCAGUUCCAUCCAUACCAGAAAAGGUUGUGUUUUGUCCCAUAAACAGGAGUGGCAUAGUAGCCAUUGUAUAUAAAAAAUAAAUCAAC